rnacentral:lncRNA from 1 species
UUAGAGGCUCCAGCCCCGCCGACUUGCAGACGUGAGAUCGGGCACACCUGAGCGGCGGCGGGGCGGUCGUGGCCACAUCCGGGGCGACGUGCCUGAGUCACCCCGUCCCGCCAGCGUCUGCCAGUCCAGCCAGUCCGCCCAGUCUCUCGCGUCCGAGACUCGCCUCCAGCCUCCCACCUCCGCCCGGGCCGCGCGAGCCUCGCGGGGGCGGGGGCGGGGCGCCAAGGGGCGGGGCUGUCUCUUAAAGGGCCCCGGGCCGCUGCCCUUAGGCCACUUCCUGGGGGCGGAGAGGACCUCAGCGGCUGCGGCGACACCCAGGGAAGGCGGCGCGGCCGGGUCCCGAAACUCCUGGCUGUUUCCAUCAGAGCCCUCGGACACUCCCAGCCCGGGCUGAGCACGCAUCGUCGCUCCCCGGCGGAUACAAGGGGGCUCCGCCAUCCGCUCCCGUCAGUUCGGCCUCCAUCUCCUGGGACCCGCGCCGGCAGCCAGGCCAGGCCUCUGAGUGGCCCCAGAGCCCUGGCUGGACUCGUCCACGGCGGCAGCGAUCUGCCCGGGGUCUCGGAGGCCAUCCCUUCAGAGUCGGCCCUGUGCUCGCCACCGUCACCUGCUGGUUGGAUUCCGGAAACCCACUGUCUGAAGACCACAGAGGGGUGUCGCUGACCACCCCAAAUCGGAUACGUCCAGACCUCAAGCUCCCUUCCCCUCUCUGGCUGCCCUCUGCUCUUUUCAUCUCUUCUCUCAACCUUUUGGGGAUUUCUGUGUCCUGACACCACCUCCCCAUCCACCACCAAAGUAGCCGGGGUGAGCCCCA